rnacentral:rRNA from 1 species
GAUGAACGCUGGCGGCGUGCCUAAUACAUGCAAGUCGAGCGAACAGACGAGGAGCUUGCUCCUCUGACGUUAGCGGCGGACGGGUGAGUAACACGUGGAUAACCUACCUAUAAGACUGGGAUAACUUCGGGAAACCGCAGCUAAUACCGGAUAAUAUAUUGAACCGCAUGGUUCAAUAGUGCAUGACGGUUUUGCUGUCACUUAUAGAUGGAUCCGCGCCGCAUUAGCUAGUUGGUAAGGUAACGGCUUACCAAGGCAACGAUGCGUAGCCGACCUGAGAGGGUGAUCGGCCACACUGGAACUGAGACACGGUCCAGACUCCUACGGGAGGCAGCAGUAGGGAAUCUUCCGCAAUGGGCGAAAGCCUGACGGAGCAACGCCGCGUGAGUGAUGAAGGUCUUCGGAUCGUAAAACUCUGUUAUUAGGGAAGAACAAAUGUGUAAGUAACUAUGCACGUCUUGACGGUACCUAAUCAGAAAGCCACGGCUAACUACGUG